rnacentral:rRNA from 1 species
GACGAACGCUGGCGGCGUGCUUAACACAUGCAAGUCGAACGGAAAAGCCCCUUUGGGGGUACUCGAGUGGCGAACGGGUGAGUAACACGUGAGUAACCUGCCCUUGACUUCGGGAUAACUUCAGGAAACUGGGGCUAAUACCGGAUAGGAAUCCUUGCUGCAUGGUGGGGGUUGGAAAGCUUCGGCGGUGUUGGAUGGACUCGCGGCUUAUCAGCUUGUUGGUGGGGUAGUGGCUUACCAAGGCUUUGACGGGUAGCCGGCCUGAGAGGGCGACCGGCCACAUUGGGACUGAGAUACGGCCCAGACUCCUACGGGAGGCAGCAGUGGGGAAGAUUGCACAAUGGGCGGAAGCCUGAUGCAGCAACGCCGCGUGCGGGAUGACGGCCUUCGGGUUGUAAACCGCUUUCAGCAGGGGCGAAGCUUGUGGUGACGGUACCUGCAGAAGAAGCACCGGCUAACUACGUG